ensembl:lncRNA
UCUGCCAUACUGAUGAACAGCUUAAUGCUACUGAAGUUUUCUAGUAAACAGCGGCCUGUUCUGUGAUUUUGUCAUUGUGUGCGUGUGUGUGUGCGUCACUGUCUGUGUGUGCGUCUCUGAGUGUGCCCGCGUGUGUGUGAGUGUGUGGGCGGGGCUAAAGUACGCUCUGACGCUGUUGCGUACUGUAGCCGGUAGCCGUAUGCGUAUGGUUUGUCGGAUGCUCUGGCUAGUGCUAUGGGAAACAGACUUGACGUCACUAAUGCGUUCCACAAUGCUGUUGCUAACCGUAAGGCUCAUGCUAGUGGAAGCACUCUGGUUAACAUGUGUGCUGUCACUAUCACGGCCUAUACCACUAAUGCUAACUGUGUAGUCAGCGGGAGCAGGAGCGCUAUCGCCAUUACCAGGGUCACUCUGGAUAGAAUCAUUUAUACUUUUGCUAAUAUUGUUUUCUGUGCUAGCAGAAGCAUUGACGCUAGCACAGUGGUCACUCUGGCUAACAUCGCCUGCACUUCGGUGAAAGGAUGUGCUGUCGCUAACCGUUUGGCUAACACUUUGGAUAUCAGUUUCACUGUCACUCAGAGAGAAACCGUUUUCGGUUGUAUUAAUGCUAAGCUCACGGCUAGCGUCGUCUUCUGUCGCUUUGCUAACACCAAUGUCAUUACACGUACAAACAUCAUCGGCAUCGCUAAUCUUACAUCGUCUUCCUUCCGACUGAAGCACAAGAUUGACGUUCUGGUUGUAAAACAGUGUUUGUGGUACAUUCACCUGUGCCAUGGUAACCGCCUCUCCUCCUGUCUCCACGGUAACCCUCGAGGACUGUUUGAACAUCCUCCUGCCCAUGCUGGGGAACAAGGCGAUUUUCAUCCUGCUGGUUUUGUCUCGUAUGGACGGGAGUGUUAGCGAGUGUGUGUGCAGUGUGCGAGUGUGUUUUGUGUGUAUGGGACACGGGUGUGUGUGUGAGAGAGUGUGUGCCAUACUCAGGUCCCUGUCCUCAUUAUCGAGUGGAAUGUGGCAUGAGAUUCCUUCAUCAUGGCGAGGAGUUUCAGGUUCCUCUGCUUGCAUCCCUCCAUCUCGCUCCUCCAUCAUGCCACUUCUGUCCGCUUUCCUCUCUCCUUCGUCUUCACACUUUCGUCCGUCCUUUGCUUUACACUCGUCCUUAAAGUUUAUGUCCAAAAGUUUAACUCCUCCCUCUUUCUCUUUGUCCCUCCCCCCGUUUCCGUUUCUGUGCUUGAGCUCAUCGUAAGUGAACGCCAUCGUCCACAGCUUCCUCGGCAUCUCCGGAGUCAG